AUUCUCUCAUUCUCUCUCUCUCUCUCUCUCUCUCUCUCUAAGAUCCUUCGCCGUUCAUCGUCCGUUUCCAAAAACGGAGGGUACUGCGUGGAUCAGAAGAGGAAACUCUACACUUUUAGUGGAUCAGAUCGUCGUUUCGGAGAGUUUCGGAUUUUCCCAAGAAUCGAGGUUUUCGGGAUCUCGGGUUGUCGUUUUAGACCGUUUUCGUACGAAAUUUCAUUUCGAAUAUAAGGUCUGUCCGUGCGUCGGUCCUAGUAGAUAAAGGGACUGGGGAGGUUAUUUUGGUUAGUUUACGUAAGCAUCUAAAUUUUGUACUAAACUUGAUGAAAGUCCUUUUUGGAGGGUUGUAAUAUGAUGAUUACUCUAAGUCCGAAUGUAUGUAAAUUAUGGAUGUAUUAGUGAACUCUGGUAUAAGGCUAGUAGUAAUUCCAAUGGAUGUUUAUGUUUUUCUGCGACA